AGUGAACGCUGGCGGUAGGCCUAACACAUGCGAGUCGAACGGCAGCACAGUAAGAGCUUGCUCUUACGGGUGGCGAGUGGCGGACGGGUGAGGAAUACAUCGGAAUCUACUUUUUCGUGGGGGAUAACGCAGGGAAACUUACGCUAAUACCGCAUACGACCUACGGGUGAAAGCAGGGGAUCUUCGGACCUUGCGCGAUUGAAUGAGCCGAUGUCGGAUUAGCUAGUUGGCGGGGUAAAGGCCCACCAAGGCGACGAUCCGUAGCUGGUCUGAGAGGAUGAUCAGCCCCACUGGAACUAAGACACGGUCCGGACUCCUACGGGAGGCAGCGGUGGGGAAUAUUGGACAAUGGGCGCAAGCCUGAUCCAGCCAUACCGCGUGGUGAAGAAGGCCUUCGGGUUGUAAAGCCCUUUUGUUGGGAAAGAAAAGCAGCAGGUUAAUACCCCGCUGUUCUGACGGUACCCAAAGAAUAAGCACCGGCUAACUUCGUG
rnacentral:rRNA from 1 species